GAUGAACGCUGGCGGCGUGCUUAACACAUGCAAGUCGAACGGUGAACGAGGGAGCUUGCUCCCUCCGGAUCAGUGGCGAACGGGUGAGUAACACGUGAGCAAUCUGCCCUGGACUCUGGGAUAAGCGUUGGAAACGACGUCUAAUACCGGAUACGAGACGCGAAGGCAUCUUCAGCGUCUGGAAAGAACUUCGGUCCAGGAUGAGCUCGCGGCCUAUCAGGUAGUUGGUGAGGUAACGGCUCACCAAGCCUACGACGGGUAGCCGGCCUGAGAGGGUGACCGGCCACACUGGGACUGAGACACGGCCCAGACUCCUACGGGAGGCAGCAGUGGGGAAUAUUGGACAAUGGGCGGAAGCCUGAUCCAGCAACGCCGCGUGAGGGAUGACGGCCUUCGGGUUGUAAACCUCUUUCAGCACCGACGAAGCGAUCCUUUGGGGAGUGACGGUAGGUGCAGAAGAAGGACCGGCCAACUACGUGCCAGCCGCCGCAGUAACAC
rnacentral:rRNA from 1 species